rnacentral:rRNA from 1 species
UACAGAGGGGGCAAGCGUUGUUCGGAAUUACUGGGCGUAAAGGGCGCGUAGGCGGCCUUCUAAGUCGAACGUGAAAUCCCCAGGCUUAACCUGGGAACUGCAUCCGAUACUGGAUGGCUUGAAUCCGGGAGAGGGAUGCAGAAUUCCAGGUGUAGCGGUGAAAUGCGUAGAUAUCUGGAGGAACACCGGUGGCGAAGGCGGCAUCCUGGACCAAUAUUGACGCUGAGGAGCGAAAGCCAGGGGAGCAAACGGG